AGCGUCCCAGUUCGGAUUGUAGUCUGCAACUCGACUACAUGAAGCCGGAAUCGCUAGUAAUCGCGGAUCAGAAUGCCGCGGUGAAUACGUUCCCGGGUCUUGUACACACCGCCCGUCACACCAUGGGAGCCGGAAAUGCCCGAAGUCAGUGACCCAACCGCGAGGAGGGAGCUGCCGAAGGCAGGUCUGGUAACUGGGGUGAAGUCGUAACAAGGUAUC
rnacentral:rRNA from 1 species